UACGUAGGGUGCAAGCGUUGUCCGGAAUUAUUGGGCGUAAAGAGCUCGUAGGCGGCUUGUCACGUCGGGUGUGAAAGCCCGGGGCUUAACCCCGGGUCUGCAUUCGAUACGGGCAGGCUAGAGUGUGGUAGGGGAGAUCGGAAUUCCUGGUAUAGCGGUGAAAUGCGCAGAUAUCAGGAGGAACACCGGUGGCGAAGGCGGAUCUCUGGGCCAUUACUGACGCUGAGGAGCGAAAGCGUGGGGAGCGAACAGG
rnacentral:rRNA from 1 species